UACGUAGGGUGCAAGCGUUGUCCGGAAUUAUUGGGCGUAAAGAGCUCGUAGGCGGUCUGUCGCGUCUGCUGUGAAAACUCAGGGCUUAACCCUGAGCUUGCAGUGGGUACGGGCAGACUAGAGUGCGGUAGGGGAGACUGGAAUUCCUGGUGUAGCGGUGAAAUGCGCAGAUAUCAGGAGGCACACCGGUGGCGAAGGCGGGUCUCUGGGCCGUAACUGACGCUGAGGAGCGAAAGCAUGGGGAGCGAACAGA
rnacentral:rRNA from 1 species